UGGGGAGUCGCCAAGUGGUAAGGCACCGCCCUCUGGAGGCGGCAUCGGGGGUUCGAAUCCCUCCUCCCCAACCA
rnacentral:tRNA from 1 species